UACGUAGGGUGCGAGCGUUGUCCGGAAUUACUGGGCGUAAAGAGCUCGUAGGCGGUUUGUCGCGUUGUUCGUGAAAACUCACAACUCAAUUGUGGGCGUGCGGGCGAUACGGGCAGACUGGAGUACUGCAGGGGAGACUGGAAUUCCUGGUGUAGCGGUGGAAUGCGCAGAUAUCAGGAGGAACACCGGUGGCGAAGGCGGGUCUCUGGGCAGUAACUGACGCUGAGGAGCGAAAGCGUGGGGAGCGAACAGG
rnacentral:rRNA from 1 species